AAUUUACCAAAAGGACCGGGACAACCACUGGAAACGGUGGCUAAUACCGGAUGAACCGAAAAGUAAAAAGGGAAACCUGCCUUUUGAAGAGCUCGCGUCUGAUUAGCUAGUUGGUAGGGUAAAAGCCUACCAAGGCAUCGAUCAGUAGCUGGUCUGAGAGGAUGACCAGCCACACUGGGACUGAGACACGGCCCAGACUCCUACGGGAGGCAGCAGUGGGGAAUUUUCCGCAAUGGGCGAAAGCCUGACGGAGCAAGACCGCGUGAGGGAAGAAGGCUCUUGGGUCGUAAACCUCUUUUAUCAGG
rnacentral:rRNA from 1 species